rnacentral:rRNA from 1 species
AUUGAACGCUGGCGGCAUGCCUUACACAUGCAAGUCGAACGGCAGCGCGGACUUCGGUCUGGCGGCGAGUGGCGAACGGGUGAGUAAUACAUCGGAACGUACCCUGUUGUGGGGGAUAACUAGUCGAAAGAUUAGCUAAUACCGCAUACGACCUGAGGGUGAAAGUGGGGGACCGCAAGGCCUCACGCAGCAGGAGCGGCCGAUGUCUGAUUAGCUAGUUGGUGGGGUAAAGGCCCACCAAGGCGACGAUCAGUAGCUGGUCUGAGAGGACGAUCAGCCACACUGGGACUGAGACACGGCCCAGACUCCUACGGGAGGCAGCAGUGGGGAAUUUUGGACAAUGGGGGCAACCCUGAUCCAGCAAUGCCGUGUGUGUGAAGAAGGCCUUCGGGUUGUAAAGCACUUUUGUCCGGAAAGAAAUCGCGCUGGUUAAUACCUGGCGUGGAUGACGGUACCGGAAGAAUAAGCACCGGCUAACUACGUGCCAGCAGCCGCCGUAA